rnacentral:rRNA from 1 species
UACGAAGGGGGCUAGCGUUGUUCGGAUUUACUGGGUUUAAAGGGUGCGUAGGCGGGCCUUUAAGUCAGUGGUGAAAGCUCCGAGCUUAACUCGGAAACUGCCAUUGAUACUAUUGGUCUUGAAUUCGGUCGAGGUUGGCGGAAUGUGUCGUGUAGCGGUGAAAUGCUUAGAUAUGACACAGAACACCGAUUGCGAAGGCAGCUAGCUAGACCGACAUUGACGCUGAGGCACGAAAGCGUGGGGAUCAAACAGG